UAUUCUUCCAGCCUUAAGGUUGAGUUAUCUUCAUCUCCCUCCCCAUUUGAAACGUUGCUUCGGUUAUUGUGCAAUUUUGCCAAAGGAUCGUGAGUUUGAUAGGAAUAAGUUAGUUUUGUUAUGGAUGGCUGAGGGUUUCUUAUAUGACCCAAAGAAAAUGGAGGAGACAGAAGGUUUGGGUCAUCAAUAUUUUGAUGAUUUAUUAUCAA
rnacentral:misc_RNA from 1 species